CACUCAAAGAUUAGAAUUAUUUUUCGUUGUUUCCUUGUGACAAUUCUGACAUUGAGCCACUUGGAAGUUUUUGGGUUACAAAGCCAAUGCAUUUUAUAUACAAGGUAUUAGGUUAGUGCAAAAAGUAAUUGUAGUUUUUGCCAUAAUGGCACCAUUGUAGCAAAAAUUACUUUUUGCAUCAACCUAAUAUAUGGGAAAUCAGAUGUAGCUACUUAUUCACACUCCACCAAAUAAUUACUGAAUAUUUACUAUUUCCAUAGGAGGUACAGAGAUAUUCAGAUAGCAGUACUGGAGUUCUAAGUCUUACAUAGUAUGUGCUGAAUAAAUAUUUGUGAAAUGAUGGAUGAAUAAAUGGGUGCCUAUUGAACAGAGGAGCUGAAACAUGUUUAUUAACUCUAGUAAGGGAAUAAUAACAACAAUAACCAACACUUAUUAAACUCUUGCUAUCACCCAAGCAAGCACUUGACAUGUGUUUGUUUAUUCUUUAAGAUGUGCUGUGAGUCCUAAGUGAGGCAGAGACACUGUGGGAAUUGGAAGGAGAAGGACAACUUUUUCAUUUUGGAGAGUGGAGGUGACAGUCAGAAAAACUGAAAACUGUGAAUCCAUUACCAGCAUACGUGCCAGUCCUGAGGCAAUACAUGGCGUACAUGGCCCCUACCUUCAGACAGCAGGGGCACACUUUGACAAAUAAGGAGGGAUCCAGUAGGACUGAGAGGCGGGAGGUUGUCCUGGACAGAGAACAAGGAGGCCAGACUGAUGGGGCAGGGAUUCCUGCAGGUACAGGAUGGGGAGGAUUGAGAAAGAGAGUGAGGAGAAAGCUUCAUGCCUGAGGAUGGAGGCCCAGGGCACCAGGGCAAGAUUCCUGCUGGUUGUGCAAAGAGCAGACCGAGUUCAGUGGACAGAGUCGUGGAUCACCCUUUUCCCCACCUCCCUGGACCAGUCCAGGAAGAGAGAGUUACGCAAAGUGUAUAAUACUUUAAAAACUAAUAUCCUGUUUUGCAAAAUUGCAUUUCAUUCAGGAAAUAACAGGAUUUCCCAUCUCGGCCGCAACCCUGCAGAGAAGGUGAAUGAACGCUUUGGGGGGAGGAGGCUGUCCCUGUCAUUAACAGUGCCUGGGUUUAAACUUAUAAUUAAAAUAACCUUUAAAAUUCAAUUUUUAUAGAUGGAGGAGAUAACUUGAUUUGAAACCCUUCAAUGCACACAUUUUAUGUAGCACUCACCCAAAUCCAAUGGUACCAUAGAAAAACGGGAACAUAAAACUCGAUGAUGAGAGUUUAUAUAGCUUUUAAAUAUCAAGCUGUCAGGCUUUGUGCCGGUAGAAAUAUUGUAAUUGACAAGAGUAAAGAAAAAGAGUUUACAUUAGCAUUGAGGGUUUUUGAGUGAAUUCAGACCAAGCAGAAUAUAAUAGAAACCCCUUUAAAAGAAAGAGGAGAGAAAAACUCGAGGUCCAAGCAUAGUCUGACCUUCCUUUCAGAGGAGAUCUGCUUGAUAAAACAGACACAACCCCAAUAAAAUACUAACAAUAGAAAAAAGUAAAUAGAAAUCAUAUUAAGCAGUGGCGAUAUUGCCUGAAUUGAAACAAAAAUUAGGUAUAAUAGCCUUGGCGGGUUUUAAUAUGGUCCCCAAUCACAUCACAAUACGAAGCAUAUCAUGGUGUUGCUAAAUAAUGUUUAUCAUCUUGAAAUCUCCCUGCCUGGUAGACAACUUGCAUUAUUUGAGGUUUGUGGGCUUUUUUUUUUUUUUUAAAGAACUCAUAAAUAUUUAAUGUCCAGGAUCAAGAAUGGGGCUGGGGGAGGGGACAUGUCUCUCGAAACAGUAAUGUUUCUCUGUGUGACAGGCCCUGGCAUUGUCUGGAGCUAAGGCUUGGCCCUGGUGUGAAGCAUUGGGAUGAGGAGUGUGUCCCUCUGAAGACCUAGAGCCACCUGGUACCAGGGUUACAGAGAGGAUCCCAGAUAGCAGGGCAGCCUGCCCCAGAUGCACUCACACCUGUCUGCUAUACCUGGGCAGGGCUAGUCAUGCGUGACUUUUUCCCUUGUGCAUUGUGGAUUACAGGGCUACAGAGGAAAAAAAAGUGGGCCAGUGGGUUCCUGUUGGUCAUAUCCUAAUGCAAUUCUGAAUUCCAGGAGCUGGUGGGAACAUUGGCCUUCCAGCUGGCUGUCCAUCUCCUCCACUGGUCAACCAGCCAGUGUCUCUUUAUUGAGGGCCUUCAAGGGGCCAGGCAUAGAAUCCUCAGUGUUGUUUUCUGUUGCUUGUAAGAUUCUUAAGGGAAUAUUUUCAACCUUUUCUGAAGUUUCAGAAGCCUGUGUUUUCUUCAGGAUCAAUGCUGCAUGCAUUCAAUAAGAGUUUGGAAUCUGGUCUUUUUUAGACUUUUUGGCUCAGGGUGGGAAGAGAGGUGAGCCGGAGAAGGCAACUAGCGCAUGUGCUGUUUCCUCAAAAUACCUGCGAUUCAUUUUUUUAAAAUCUCAGUGACUCUCCAAUUGAGUUCUGCACCAUUCGUUCAUUUGUUCACUCCACAAAUAUUUAUUGAGAACCUACAGUAUGCCAGGCACUAUUGCAGGCUCUGGGGGUACGAUAUUGACCAACCCAGCACGUUUGCUGUUGUCCCAGAGCUAGUGUAUUGCCUGAAUUGAAACAAAAAUUAGGUAUAAUAGCCUUGGCGGGUUUUAAUAUGGUCCCCAGUCACAUCACAAUAUGAAGCAUAUCAUGGUGUUGCUAAAUAAUGUUUAUCAUUUUGAAAUCUCCCUGCCUGGUAGACAACUUGCAAUUAUCCAUGUCAGUGGAUAUUGCACAUCACUUGAAAUUUGGGCCCUCUUAAGAGACAGAGAGGUGAGAUGCAAAAUACCUUUUUGGGAACAGUGUCUGGUUUGGGCUCAGAAGCACCUUGACUCAUGCAGGAUUUAUACCAGUCGUUCAUGCAAGAGCCAACAGCCACUAUGCUCAUACAGGUCUUCCCUACCAGACCUCAGCAUCCUCUCAGGGAAGGGCACUAGAACAGGGGAGCAUCCUCAUUGGUCCUGGGCCUUUCUCUCUGUGUCCAUUUCCUAACUUCCCCUGCAGCCAUCUCAGGUGGAUGCAACUGCCACAUCCUUGGACAUGGGCACACUUACUUACACAGGUGCACAGAGCCUGACAUGCUCCCUUCUGAGUCCCAGCAUGGUUUCUCCAUCCUGUCAAUUGCCCCAGAAGGUGGACCUGAGCCAAUAGCACUGCAUUCCUGUCUGCACAACAACAGGGAUGAUCUCGGGAGGAUAAUGAAGAGGAAGAUUUGGUUUGCCCUGGGCCUGGGUCACCACAUAGGGUCUGCUGCCUGCUGUGUCUCCGGGUCCCAUGCUCCUUGAGAAGCCAGCUGUGGUUGUCAUGACAGCAGCCACCCCCGGAGUUCCCACAGCAUGGAGUCUGGCCAAUCUCAGAGCUGCCAACCUUUCCCUGUCUACCAGACCAUGGAGGUCCAGCCAUACACUUCACGUGGCUCAACUGAUUAGCGAGUGAGAACUGGCAGGUGACUUAGAGAGCCUGCUCUAGGUCUAGAAACCAUCACAUAGACCACAAAGAAACUCACUGUGGUCCUCAGAGUCAAGGGCCUGAGAUAGUAUCAUCUCACCAGCAGACAUUCAAGUUUGAUCUUCCUUUCUGAGGCCAGAGGCUGAAUCUGGAAGACCAUGACAAGAGUGAGGACUCAAGGAGUAGCAACAACUGACAGGCUGGCAUGUGGCAUGCUCAGGACUACGCCGGGGAUUGUGGAGCCCUGUCACCUCUAUGAAAUGGGUGCUGCAGGCUGGGCACGGUGGCCCACACCUGUAAUCCCAGCAUUUUGGGAGGCCGAGGCGGGUGGAUCACGAGGUCAGGAGAUGGAGGCCAUCCUGGCCAACAUGGUGAAACCCUGUCUCUACUAAAAAUACACAGAUUAGCUGGGCAUGGUGGCGGAUGCCUGUAAUCCCAGCUACUCAGGAGGCUGAGGCAGGAGAAUGGCUUAAACCCAGGAGGCAGAGGUUGCAGCGAGCCGAGAUCACGCCACUGCCCUCCAGCUGGGGCAACAGAGCAAGACUCUGUCUCAAAAAAAAAAAAAAAAAAAAAGGCACUGCAGGCAGCCUGUGCUGGGUGUCAAUGCUGGCCCUGUAACUUCCUUACUAAGUGACCUUGAGCCAAUUACAUAGUUUUUCUGAUUCUUGCUGUUCUCAUCUAUAAGUGGAUGUGACCACAUGAGGCAGUGUGAGGAUUCAAUCUCACAUGCAGCAGGCGAAGUGCUGGGAACAGUAUCAGACUCCUGGGCUGCGGCCAGCAGGGCUUUUCUGUGAGCACCUGUGCAGGUAGAGCUCUUUCUCCUCCCCAUUGACGUAGACUUUGCCACCAGGGUCCAAGGCACAGCGUCUUUGGUUGCCAUUGUUUUAUAGAAUUUCAAGGGAAAUAGCAUUCCCUAUUCUGUUUCCUGCCCAGCUCCUGCCACACUCUUCUUGGGGUGGGUUCUCUCUGGAGGUACCUCCCUUCAUCUGCAGCCCUGAGAUGGGUUGGACCCUGCUGUGAGAAGGGGGGUUCCUGCCGGGAUGCCCACAUGGAGAGUUAGCAAACAUGGGUCUGUCCCUCACAGGGCUCAGCGUGCCCUAGAGGCUGGAGAAGUUGGCAGGGAUGCCAGGAGUGUGG
ensembl:lncRNA